rnacentral:rRNA from 1 species
CUUGUACACUCCGCCCGUCACACCAUGGGAGCGGGUUCUGCCAGAAGUAGUUAGCCUAACCGCAAGGAGGGCGAUUACCACGGCAGGGUUCGUGACUGGGGUG